rnacentral:rRNA from 1 species
UGGAUCCAGACUUUGAUCAUGGCUCAGGAUGAACGCUAGCUACAGGCUUAACACAUGCAAGUCGAGGGGAAACGACAUCGAAAGCUUGCUUUUGAUGGGCGUCGACCGGCGCACGGGUGAGUAACGCGUAUCCAACCUGCCCAUCACUUGGGGAUAACCUUGCGAAAGUAAGACUAAUACCCAAUGACGUCUCUAGAAGACAUCUGAAAGAGAUCAAAGAUUUAUCGGUGAUGGAUGGGGAUGCGUCUGAUUAGCUUGUUGGCGGGGUAACGGCCCACCAAGGCAACGAUCAGUAGGGGUUCUGAGAGGAAGGUCCCCCACAUUGGAACUGAGACACGGUCCAAACUCCUACGGGAGGCAGCAGUGAGGAAUAUUGGUCAAUGGGCGAGAGCCUGAACCAGCCAAGUAGCGUGCAGGAUGACGGCCCUAUGGGUUGUAAACUGCUUUUAUAAGGGAAUAAAGUGAGUCUCGUGAGACUUUUUGCAUGUACCUUAUGAAUAAGGACCGGCUAAUUCCGUGCCAGCAGCCGCGGUAAUACGGAAGGUCCGGGCGUUAUCCGGAUUUAUUGGGUUUAAAGGGAGCGUAGGCCGGAGAUUAAGCGUGUUGUGAAAUGUAGACGCUCAACGUCUGCACUGCAGCGCGAACUGGUUUCCUUGAGUACGCACAAAGUGGGCGGAAUUCGUGGUGUAGCGGUGAAAUGCUUAGAUAUCACGAAGAACUCCGAUUGCGAAGGCAGCUCACUGGAGCGCAACUGACGCUGAAGCUCGAAAGUGCGGGUAUCGAACAGGAUUAGAUACCCUGGUAGUCCGCACGGUAAACGAUGGAUGCCCGCUGUUGGUCUGAAUAGGUCAAGCGGCC